UGGGGGAUAUUGCACAAUGGGCGAAAGCCUGAUGCAGCGACGCCGCGUGGGGGAUGAAGGCCUUCGGGUUGUAAACUUCUUUUGCUCUGAACAAGGCAUGCUAAUGGGUGUGUUGAGUGUAGGGGUUGAUUAGCGCCGGCUAACUACGUGCCAGCAGCCGCGGUAAUACGUAGGGCGCGAGCGUUGUCCGGAAUUAUUGGGCGUAAAGGGCUUGUAGGUGGCUGGUUGCGUCUGUCGUGAAAGCUCAUGGCUUAACGGGAGGUUUGCGGUGGGUACGGGCUGGCUUGAGUGCAGUAGGGGAGGCUGGAAUUCCUGGUGUAGCGGUGGAAUGCGCAGAUAUCAGGAGGAAUACCGGUGGCGAAGGCGGGUCUCUGGGCUGUUACUGACACUGAGGAGCGAAAGCAUGGGGAGCGAACAGG
rnacentral:rRNA from 1 species